GACGAACGCUGGCGGCGUGCCUAAUACAUGCAAGUCGAACGAGUGGCGGACGGGUGAGUAACACGUGGGUAACCUCUCCACAGAGGGGGAUAACUACUGGAAACGGGGGCUAAUACCGCAUACUAUCCGAUGAACUCGUAUGGGAUUAGCUAGUAGGUGGGGUAAAGGCUCACCUAGGCGACGAUCUCUAGCUGGUCUGAGAGGAUGAUCAGCCACACUGGGACUGAAACACGGCCCAGACUCCUACGGGAGGCAGCAGUGGGAAAUAUUGCACAAUGGGCGCAAGCCUGAUGCAGCCAUGCCGCGUGUAGGAAGAAGGCCUUAGGGUUGUAAAGUACUUUCAGCGGGGAGGCGUUACCCGCAGAAGAAGCACCGGCUAACUACGUGCCAGCAGCCGCGGUAAUUC
rnacentral:rRNA from 1 species